rnacentral:lncRNA from 10 species
CCUAGGUCUGAGAAUGAUACUGAGUCCCGAGCAGUUCCCGGUGGCUGGAAUGUCGUCGUGUUCAGCAGGAGCAGCAGCAGAGAACGCUGAUUCCCAUCGUGAUAAGAGACGACGAAAAUGGCGGCCCUGAAUUCCUACCUCUGGUCUUUAGGAAGAGGAAUGUCAGAAAUAAUGGAGUCUGAUUUGGAAAGACCUGGGACAUGGCCUGAUGCUCUUCCACUCACCACACUCACGCAGAUGUCGAGCACGUCCAAAUCAAUGUGUGGAACCUCCCUUUCUGACCCAGAAGUUCUGAGAAGCUAGACAUCGAAAAUGGCCUAAGCUACCCAACUGUCUCAGGUCGCUAGAGUUCCAGAGAGAAACCAACCACUCCAGAGGCUCUGGAACACAACUGCCUGGGAUGAACUCUGUUUAUUCACAUACCAGCUGUAUGGCCUUUGGUAAGUAAUUUAACUUCUCUGUGCUUGGUUUUCUCAUUGGGAAUGACCCGUCGUUGUAGCUUACCUCUGAAGAUGGCUGCCAUCAAUUCCUUCCCUCCCUGUAAGUGUCUGUGACUCCCCCACUGA